rnacentral:tRNA from 1 species
UCCCCGGUAGCUCAGUUGGUAGAGCGAGAUCCUGUUAAGAUCGAGGUCGGAGGUUCGAGUCCUCCCCGGGGAG